GACGAACGCCGGCGGCGUGCCUAAUACAUGCAAGUAGAACGCACAGUUUAUACCGUAGCUUGCUACACCAUAGACUGUGAGUUGCGAACGGGUGAGUAACGCGUAGGUAACCUGCCUGGUAGCGGGGGAUAACUAUUGGAAACGAUAGCUAAUACCGCAUAAUAUUGAUUAUUGCAUGAUAAUUGAUUGAAAGAUGCUAUUGCAUCACUACCAGAUGGACCUGCGUUGUAUUAGCUAGUAGGUGAGGUAACGGCUCACCUAGGCGACGAUACAUAGCCGACCUGAGAGGGUGAUCGGCCACACUGGGACUGAGACACGGCCCAGACUCCUACGGGAGGGAGCAGUAGGGAAUCUUCGGCAAUGGACGAAAGUCUGACCGAGCAACGCCGCGUGAGUGAAGAAGGUUUUCGGAUCGUAAAGCUCGGUUGUAAGAGAAGAACGGGUGUGAGAGUGGAAAGUUCACACUGUGACGGUAUCUUACCAGAAAGGGACGGCUAACUACGUG
rnacentral:rRNA from 1 species